rnacentral:lncRNA from 1 species
CAUUUUAUUCCUAGGGCAAGAAUACCAGGUGGAUAGGGUUCAAGAUCGUCCCAUACUUGAGCUCGUUCGAACUGAUGUAGUUCAUCAAACAUGGCAUGAGACCAUCCUUUAUCAUUUAAGGCUUUUUUUACAUUCUUAGGCUCUAUUUUUUAAAGAAGACUCUGAUGAAGUACAUGAUUUAUAGAUGGAGCACUCUUAGAACGAGUUCUACGUCCUUCUGUGACAUUCCAUAUCACUUGAGUAAUUGAAUGUCUAGACGUUAUUACUCUAGAAUGAAUUAAUUCAAUUGGCUCAUUCUCAGGUUAUCAAGCCGAGAGUAAUUCGUCCAGAUCAGAUUGCCUACCUUUUGUAUUUAU